rnacentral:piRNA from 1 species
UUGAUGCUGGACGACGCCAUCCUC